AUGCUCUCUUUGUCUUUGAGUGCCAGUGGCCUAGAGGAGAAUGUGCCCAGAUCCUGGAACCUUCCUGUCCUCCAUUGCUCAUCUGGAGAGAUGUCUCACCUUCUACAAGGACAUCAGUACAAGGCUACGCCCCUCCUGCCCACACCCUGCUUUGACACUCUGCCAUUGGUUUCUGCAGCCAUCUCUAAACACACAGACUUAAGAAGCAGGAAACAGCCUCAGCCUGUACCUCACCAUGCCCUCAGCUGGAAACUCCCCAUAGCUCUGGACAGAAGAUCUUCAUCACUUGGUGGACAGCUCUGGUGCAGUUGUGUUCUGCACUGAAGCAAGGAAUCACCUCAGCAGGGCAACCAAACUCCUAUCAGCUGUGAGCUGCCAAAUGACGUUUCCUUCCACACGGCAUUAGUUCAAGCAGACAAGGAUGGAAGAGAAUCCCACCCCAGCUGGGGGACUGGCUCACCUAUUGGCUGCCUCUCAUACAACAAAUCUGGUCAUGGUUACCACUAGGCAGAAAGCUCUUGCUAAAAUGAAUGUAGCUACAUGGACAGAGUGCCUGCUCAGAAAUGCAGCUGCUCUGGAUGCAGGGAAUGCCUGAGUCUGCUGCUGAUUGUGGAGGGUGGCAGUGAUGCCACCUGUGUGAGGUAUGAGCAGGGGAAUGAUCUGCUCAGUAUGGUGGCAGAGCUCAAAGAGGAGGUGGAGAGAUUAAGGAACAUCAAGGAGUAUAAGCAGGAGAUAGACCAGUGGAGCAACUCCCUGCCGUACAUAUUAGAAAAAUAAAUACGUGGCUAAGGCUUGUGCCA
rnacentral:lncRNA from 1 species